GACGAACGCUGGCGGCGUGCCUAAUACAUGCAAGUCGAGCGGACGGAUGGGAGCUUGCUCCCAGACCGUCAGCGGCGGACGGGUGAGUAACACGUGGGCAACCUGCCUGUAAGACUGGGAUAACUCCGGGAAACCGGGGCUAAUACCGGAUAACUCUUUCCCUCACAUGAGGGAAAGCUGAAAGAUGGAAUCUCGCUAUCACUUACAGAUGGGCCCGCGGCGCAUUAGCAAGUUGGUGAGGUAACGGCUCACCAAGGCGACGAUGCGUAGCCGACCUGAGAGGGUGAUCGGCCACACUGGGACUGAGACACAGCCCAGACUCCUACGGGAGGCAGCAGUAGGGAAUCUUCCGCAAUGGACGAAAGUCUGACGGAGCAACGCCGCGUGAGUGAUGAAGGUUUUCGGAUCGUAAAACUCUGUUGUCAGGGAAGAACAAUUACCGGAGUAACUGCCGGUACCUUGACGGUACCUGACCAGAAAGCCACGGCUAACUACGUG
rnacentral:rRNA from 1 species